AGUUUGACUGGCAGUUACACUAGAGUCAUGUGAAAUGCCGGGAGGGCACUUCCUCAACACAAAGUGGGAUGGGGACUAUUACCAGAGGGAGGGGUAUUGGGUGCACAUGCACCAACCCAGAAUACCAGCUCACAGCUCUUAAGAAGAUUCCAGAUACUGUACCUAAGGUCUUGGUAUAUGGUGGGAGGACUUGACUCUGCUCAGGAAGCAUUUUGGAAGGAGAGAUGUUUCUCUACAACCACAGCUGUGGAAGAUGUGUAUUUUGCUGAAGGAGUGAAACAACCUAAUCAGUCAGAUUGGUCUAUUAGUUGUGCUUCUCAACCCUGGCUGCACACUGGAAUCACCUGGGGAGUAUUGACAGCCUAUCAACACCCAGAACCAUCCCGGAGAGCUCGGGCACGACUAAUUCCCACCAGCAACCAAAUAUUGUCUGUGCACAGCCAGGCUGGAAAUUAUGGAGACAUCCUUUUACAUCCACUCUGGAAGUCCGGUGGCCUUGUCCUUCUGGAAGACGGCUAAAGAUAUGUAGAACUCUGGGGUUUCAGAAUAUAUUCUUUUCAAUUACCUCAUUUGAUCCUUAUGAUAACUCAGAUCUAAGGCAGAUGGGGGUAGGUAGUAAUCUCCUACUCCUGAUUUUAGAGAUGAAGGAACUGACCACUCAGAAGAUUCAUUGACUAGUGAUUCCACCGAAGUUGCAUAGCUUAGAAAAGGCAGAUCCAGGACUCGGGCUUCUUCCUCUGGCUCCAGGCUCAUGGCUCUGUCCACUUGCCUCUUGGAAAGGAGAUGGAAACAUUUGGAUUUUCCAAGCUCUCUUUCAGUUACAGUUUCAAGGAAACCUAAAGGUGAGCCCUAAGCCCUUCACAAGAAAGCUUAUUUGAAAAACAUCCUUCAGGGCCUCCAGCCAUGUUCCGGGAGGUCUUUUAAGUCAUUUCUGUCCCUCCUGCUUUGAUUUAGCUGCCAGUUGUGAGAGUUGUGCCUUCUGGGGGUUAGAGGAGUGAGGGCUGCGAUUACAGCUCCACUGUCCCUGCCAACAUCCUCGGGGGGGGCUCAUCUCCUGAAGGAACCUUCCCAAAUGAGCUGUCAACUCUGCUACCACAGGGGCCUGCCUUAGGUUUCUUCCCUCCAUAUAGCAUCAAGCAGAGUGCUACACCCAGUAAAUACCUGAGGGUAAGAUGGCGACACAGAAUGGAGUUUCUCCUCCUUCUGACUUCCCCAUCACUGCUGCCUCUUGACUACCUUUUAAGCUUAUUUUUUCAUUAAAAAACU
rnacentral:lncRNA from 1 species